UACUAGACAAACACGCUGAAUGCACGGGAAGGCGGUGAAAAUCCGCCACUGCCCCGCAACUGUAAGCGGUACAAAACAGUCGAGCGUUCGUCACUGCAUCGCAAAGCGCAUGUGGGAAGGCGAGCGCGACACAGGCACCGCAAAGUCAGGAGACCGGUUCAGCGGAAACAUGGGAA
rfam:Acidobacteria bacterium 13_1_40CM_56_16 13_1_40cm_scaffold_3619, whole genome shotgun sequence.